rnacentral:lncRNA from 1 species
UGCACUACGGGCCAAAGCUAUCAAUCAACAAUCUGUCUUUGCACGUAAGCCAAAGAUAUACAACUGUAAAACCAAUAAUUAACAGUCCAUCUUUGCAUGUAUGCCAAAGAUAUAUAACUGUAAAACCAAUAAUUAACAGUCCAUCUAUGCACUACGGGUCAAAGAUGACUUUCGUUACAAUAUAAACAUGAUGAUGAUGACAAUGAUAUAAGCAUCAAUCAAACGAAAU